UAUUGUUCUCGAGAACAAUAGAAAUGGGUUUUUCCAGUUAUUUUAGAUAGACCUAUUGUUCCCGAGAACAAUAGGUCUAUUGAUAAAGGGUUUUUCCAGUUAUUUUUAGAUAGACCUAUUGUUCCCGAGAACAAUAGGUCUAUUGAUAAAGGGUUUUUCCAGUUAUUUUGUAGAUAGACCUAUUGUUCCCGAGAACAAUAGGUCUAUUGUUAAAGGGUUUUUCCAGUUAUUUUUAGAUAAAAUCUAUUGAUAUCCUCUGAGAUCAUGGGGGAAAUAGAUAAACAAAUAAACGAAAUUACUUAAAAAGUGAUUAAAUAGGUAAAAACGAAAGAAAGAAGGAAUUAUCUCCCUUUGCUUCAAGUUGAGAUUAAAGGCAUUGUGGGCUGAUCCUCGGAAUAUUCCAGCCAUUGACUGCGGAGGAAUACUACGCCGCCAGACGAUGUGGAGAUGGGUAACAUUGAAGAAGACCCUUGCGUAAAGUCUGCGCACUCCACCCCUUCAGACGGACCCCCCCCCCCUCCCAUCCCCGCCACAGUCACCCAUCCAAACGAGAUCAAUGACUGCUCAAAAGUAAUCCAGAUCAUGAGUGUAACCUUGAAACGAAAUACAAAAUUAAUGAAAAAA